AUACCAAUAAAUCGCAAGAUCAAAAGGAGCAAUCCGCUUGAAGGAGGGGGUCGCGGCUGAUUAGCUAGUUGGCGGGGUAACUGGCCACCAAGGCGAAGAUCGGUAGCCGGCCUGAGAGGGCGCACUGGCCACACUGGAACUGAAACACGGUCCAGACUCCUACGGGAGGCAGCAGUGGGGAAUUUUGCGCAAUGGGGGAAACCCUGACCGCAGCAACGCCGCGUGGAGGAUGAACGCCCCUUGGGGCGUAAAACUCCUUUCGACAAGACGAUCAUGACGGUACUGGUGGAAGAACGCACCGGCUAACUCUGUGCCAGCAACCGCGGUACAUACAGAGGGUGCCAAGCGUUGUUCGGCAAUUAUUGGGCGUAACAAGGGCGCGUAAGCGGCGCGGUACAAGUCACCUGUGAAAUCUCUGGGCUUAACCCAGAGGCUGCUUUCCGAAAUUGCC
rnacentral:rRNA from 1 species